rnacentral:tRNA from 1 species
GGGGAUGUAGCUCAGCAGGUUAGAGCGCUGUGUUCACAUCGCAGAGGUCUAGGGUUCGAGCCCCUAUAUCCCCACCA